GCAGGGACAGCAGCAACAAAGGCCAAGCUUCCCGCCUCCGGGACCUCCGUCUGGUUCCUGCAGCAGGACACUGUCUAUGUGGUCCCAUGGGAGCUGAAUGAUGGCACCCAAAGGCACGUUUGUCUCUGCUGAGCCACCGGGGAAACAGAAGGUGUGCCAGCCAGGGGGACUGAGUCCUGGGGAGACCUGGCUGACACCAGCCCAAGAGGCUGGCAGAGCACUCGGGGAACCCCAGAGAGCUCCUGGCUGUGUCCCACCUCUCAAGGCCUUGGUCCUUCAGCUAAAGAUGCCCACUGCCCCCCGGAACACCACCACUCUGGGCUUCCUCUAACCCCAGCCGUCCCCCUCCCUCCCCCUCUUCUAUGUGGGAGAAUGAGAGAGAUAAGAACCAGCAGCUUCAAUUAAAACCGAGUCGCUUGAACAAUAAUGGAAAAGUAAUUGAGCUAAAUUGAAAUGUAA
rnacentral:lncRNA from 1 species